CUAGCUUAUAUCAGCAUGACAGAAGAAACUGAAUAGAAUCAGAAGAUCAAGAAAGCAAGAUACCACCAGCCAACAGGACACAAAUGGACAGGACCUUCCCUCCCAGGGAGACCCCAACCAUUGCAGAAGGGUUGGAAAGACUUUGGCCUACUAUGACCCUAUAAGACUGCUGGGUGACUGCUGGAAGUGACCUGCUGAAGCAUCACCAUACUGGAACAAUACACAGAACAAGCGUAAGUGGGAUAGUGCUUUCAGCCUCACUGCUUUAUUCACCAAGAGAGGAUCUAGAGAGUUCACAAGAAAGAAAAGCCAGACCCUUCACUCCUGUGACCCAAGAGAACUAUCUCCACUGUUGCCUGUUAAGUAUGUACAUUGUUCUCCCCUCAGGUAACAGAUACAUCCAAGCACAUUAUGGGCAUCCAAGCGCAUUGUGGGCAGCCACCACACAACACACCUUUGUUCACUUAAUCUAAGGAUGACAAUGUUAAAGCGCUAUUCAAAUAUUUGUGCGUUCUCUCUUCAAUUUGUAUAUUUUAAUAUAUUCAUUGUGAGAUGGGUUCACCUAAUUGAUAAUGAGAGUACGUCUACAUUGCAAUAAAAACCUGUGGCACCAAGUCUCAGAGCCCGAGUCAGUUGUCUUGGGUUUGCAGGGCUAAAAAUUGCAGCAUAGAUUUUUGGGCUUGGAAUGGAGCUGGGGCUCUGAGAACCCAUGAGAGGGGAAGAUUUCAGAGCUCAGGCGCCAGCCUGAGCCCAAACAUCUACACUGCAAUUUUUAGCCCUCCAGCCUGAGCCAGCUUAUGCUGGGCCAGCCCCAGCCAUGCCACAGGUCUUCUAUUGCAGUGUAGACGUACCCAAAGAGAACAUUAGUUUCCAUAUGUUCUGACUUUACACUAUCAUACCAAGAAAACAAGGUACUAAAUAUGUUGACACUUCUAGUGGAGAACAGAAAGCUUUAAAGACAGACACACAACUGCCCCCAAGAUUUCUAAUUCUCACUCAGACCAGCAGAGCAGCAUUUGCUCUGAAUCUAAAAUUAUUAGUAGGAUGGGGCUGGAAUUUUCCACAAUAAUCAUGUGUCUCUAAGCUCUGUCAAGGUCAAACCUGAACGUUUCCUGCAGUCUUUUAAAUUUAUCAUAUAGCUCAUUUGCCUUAUAUUCCCAAGAGAGUUUUGUGAACAGUACACAGUUGCUUUCCCAAUAAUGCUUUGUUAUCCCUUCUAUAUGUACUGAAACAAAAACUAUCACACCACACACUCACAUGCCCGGCAAUGAACCCAUGAGCACAGACCUUCUUCCCUUUACUCCUUUUGGGGCACUGUGCACCCCCCAGGGGCACACAGGAUAGUCCCUCGAAGCAAGUACACCACCACCCGAUAUAACGUGACCCAAUAUAACACAAAUUCGGAUAUAACGCGGUAAAGCAGUGCUCCGGGGUGGGGGGGUGGGGGGAAGGCUGCGCACUCCAGCGAUCAAAGCAAGUUCGAUAUAACACGGUUUCACCUAUAACGCGGUAAGAUUUUUUGGCUCCCGAGGACAGCGUUAUAUCGAGGUAGAGGUGUACUGCUACUGUAAAAGCUGUUGCAUGGAGGUGUGGAAGGCAAAGUUCUGUCUGUACUUUUCCAUUCCCCUAACAAGGUUCUCUCACAAUCUGGCCCUAAACCAAGCUAUUUCUAGUGUUGUGGUGCAGCUGGGUUUUUGCCCCCUAUUGACAAAUGUUUAAUUCUGGGAAUAAAGUAUGCUCCCACUCUUUAGUAUGCUCAAAAUGUUGUACUCUUGUUAGGAAACUGUUUGGGAAUAGUAAUAUGUUUAAUAGUAUCUCAAAUUCAGAGUAAUCCAGCAAUAGUGAAGCUCCAGUAAAGGUAUUCCCUCAUUCACACUCUUUUCUAAACACCAAUGUAUUGCCAUUCUGUUUCCUCCAUCCCUUACCCCAGGAAUUGGUAUAAUAUUUCAGUAACUGAAAUACAGAUGUAAUUAAUGCCCAGGCCCAGAAUCAGGCAGGGAUUUGUCUGCAACAAAAUUUUCAUGUAGAAGGAGGGUUCCUAUGGGUGAGAAGUAGUUAUGCUUUUCCUAUGACACUACUCAGGGACCACUGAGAGUGUUGUUUUUUGGGGGUAGGAGGGUUAAGUAAAUCACAAGAUAGAAUGAUGUUUCCAAGAAACAUGGUCUGACAGAACCAUGUCUUAGGAUCUUCCUUUGACUCAGCAAUCCCAUAGGUACUACAUUUAUAUUCUGUGUUUUCCUCUCAACAAAGGCAUUGUAAUAUGGUAUUGUAUUUUCUUGUGAUAAAAUACUAUUAAGUCA